rnacentral:rRNA from 1 species
UCCUACGGGAGGCAGCAGUGAGGAAUAUUGCUCAAUGGGCGCAAGCCUGAAGCAGCGACGCCGCGUGGACGAUGAAGGUCUUCGGAUCGUAAAGUCCUUUUCUGUGUGACGAGGAAGGACGGUAGCACAGGAAUAAGUGUCGGCUAACUACGUGCCAGCAGCCGCGGUAACACGUAGGACGCGUUAUCCGGAAUUACUGGGCGUAAAGAGCGUGUAGGCGGUUCUGUAAGUCAACCGUGAAAGCUCCCGGCUAAACUGGGAGAGGUCGGAUGAGACUGCAGGGCUAGAGGGUCGUAGAGGGGUGUGGAAUUCCGGGUGUAGUGGUGAAAUGCGUAGAGAUCCGGAGGAACACCAGAGGCGAAGGCGGCACCCUGGACGACACCAGACGCUGAGGGAUUAGAAACCCCGGUAGUCCGUGCCGUAAACGAUGUGUACUAGAUGUUCGGUUGACUACGGUUGAUUGAGCGUCGCAGCAAACGCGAUAAGUACACCGCCUGGGGAGUACGGUCGCAAGGCUAAAACUCAAAGGAAUUGACGG